AUUGAACGCUGGCGGCAUGCCUUACACAUGCAAGUCGAACGGCAGCACGGGAGCAAUCCUGGUGGCGAGUGGUGAACGGGUGAGUAAUAUAUCGGAACGUGCCCAGUCGUGGGGAUAACGUAGCGAAAGUUACGCUAAUACCGCAUACGAUCUAAGGAUGAAAGCGGGGGAUCGCAAGACCUCGCGCGAUUGGAGCGGCCGAUAUCAGAUUAGGUAGUUGGUGAGGUAAAGGCUCACCAAGCCAACGAUCUGUAGCUGGUCUGAGAGGACGACCAGCCACACUGGGACUGAGACACGGCCCAGACUCCUACGGGAGGCAGCAGUGGGGAAUUUUGGACAAUGGGCGCAAGCCUGAUCCAGCAAUGCCGCGUGCAGGAUGAAGGCC
rnacentral:rRNA from 1 species